rnacentral:rRNA from 1 species
UACGGGAGGCAGCAGUGGGGAAUAUUGCACAAUGGGCGAAAGCCUGAUGCAGCUAUGCCGCGUGUAUGAAGAAGGCCUUAGGGUUGUAAAGUACUUUCAUCGGGGAGGAAAAAACAAAACUAAUAAUUUUAUUUCUUGACGUUACCCGAAAAAGAAGCACCGGCUAACUCCGUGCCAGCAGCCGCGGUAAUACGGAGGGUGCUAGCGUUAAUCAGAAUUACUGGGCGUAAAGAGCACGUAGGUGGUUUUUUUAAGUCAGAUGUGAAAUUCCUGGGCUUAACCUAGGAACUGCAUUUUGAAACUGAAAUACUAGAGUAUCGUAGAGGGAGGUAGAAUUCUAGGUGUAGCGGUGAAAUGCGUAGAUAUCUGGAGGAAUACCUGUGGCGAAAGCGGCCUCCUAAACGAAUACUGACACUGAGGUGCGAAAGCGUGGGGAGCAAACAGGGAUUAGAUACC